rnacentral:rRNA from 1 species
AUUGAACGCUGGCGGCAUGCCUUACACAUGCAAGUCGAACGGCAGCACGGGAGCAAUCCUGGUGGCGAGUGGCGAACGGGUGAGUAAUAUAUCGGAACGCGCCCAGUCGUGGGGGAUAACGCAGCGAAAGCUGUGCUAAUACCGCAUACGAUCUACGGAUGAAAGCGGGGGAUCGCAAGACCUCGCGCGAUUGGAGCGGCCGAUAUCAGAUUAGCUAGUUGGUGGGGUAAAGGCCCACCAAGGCGACGAUCUGUAGCUGGUCUGAGAGGACGACCAGCCACACUGGAACUGAGACGCGGUCCAGACUCCUACGGGAGGCAGCAGUGGGGAAUUUUGGACAAUGGGCGCAAGCCUGAUCCAGCAAUGCCGCGUGCAGGAUGAAGGCCUUCGGGUUGUAAACUGCUUUUGUACGGAACGAAACGGCCCUUUCUAAUACAGGGGGCUAAUGACGGUACCGUAAGAAUAAGCACCGGCUAACUACGUGCCAGCCGCCGCCGUAACAC